AACGAACGCUGGCGGCAUGCCUAACACAUGCAAGUCGAACGAACCCUUCGGGGUUAGUGGCGCACGGGUGCGUAACACGUGGGAAUCUGCCCUUUGCUUCGGAAUAACAGUUAGAAAUGACUGCUAAUACCGGAUAAUGUCGCAAGACCAAAGAUUUAUCGGCAAAGGAUGAGCCCGCGUAGGAUUAGCUUGUUGGGGGGGUAAUGGCCCACCAAGGCGACGAUCCUUAGCUGGUCUGAGAGGAUGAUCAGCCACACUGGGACUGAGACACGGCCCAGACUCCUACGGGAGGCAGCAGUGGGGAAUAUUGGACAAUGGGCGAAAGCCUGAUCCAGCAAUGCCGCGUGAGUGAUGAAGGCCUUAGGGUUGUAAAGCUCUUUUACCAGGGAUGAUAAUGACAGUACCUGGAGAAUAAGCUCCGGCUAACUCCGUGCCAGCAGCCGCCGUAA
rnacentral:rRNA from 1 species